rnacentral:rRNA from 1 species
GCGAGGUUUAGCAAAUCUCUUAAAGCCGUUCUCAGUUCGGAUUGUAGGCUGCAACUCGCCUACAUGAAGUCGGAAUCGCUAGUAAUCGCGGAUCAGCAUGCCGCGGUGAAUACGUUCCCGGGCCUUGUACACACCGCCCGUCACACCAUGAGAGUUUGUAACACCCAAAGCCGGUGGGGUAACCUUUUGGAGCCAGCCGUCUAAGGUGGGACAGAUGAUUGGGGUGAAGUCGUAACAAGGUACC